rnacentral:rRNA from 1 species
UACGGAGGUGGCAAGCGUUGUUCGGAAUUACUGGGCGUAAAGGGCGCGUAGGCGGCAAGGCAAGUCAGGUGUGAAAGCCCCGAGCUUAACUCGGGAAUUGCAUCUGAAACUGCUGUGCUUGAGUUCUGGAGGGGGUAGUGGAAUUCCCAGUGUAGCGGUGGAAUGCGUAGAUAUUGGGAGGAACACCUGCGGCGAAGGCGGCUACCUGGACAGAAACUGACGCUGAGGCACGAAAGCGUGGGUAGCAAACAGG